AACGCAUCUUGCGCUCUCUGGUAUUCCGGAGAGCAUGUCUGUUUGAGUGUCAUGAAUUCUUCAACCCAAUCUUUUCUUGUAAUCGAUUGGUGUUUGGAUUCUGAGCGCUGCUGGCUUCGGCCUAGCUCGUUCGUAAUACAUUAGCAUCCCUAAUACAAGUUUGGAUUGACUUGGCGUAAUAGACUAUUCGCUAAGGAUUCGGUGGAAACAUCGAGCCAGCUUAAUUAAGGAAGCUCCUAAUUUAAAAGUCUACCUUUUGAUUAGAUCUCAAAUCAGGCAGGAUUACCCGCUGAACUUAA
rnacentral:misc_RNA from 1 species